GCGGCACGGCUCGGGCCGAGCGGCCCGCGGGUGCCGGAGUCCCGCGCCUCGCCCGGCGGGACGGCCGCGGCCGCGCGGUUUCUCUUUGAGCUCGAGACUCAGCUUACCUUAAUUCCAAAGCCGUUGAAGAGAUUGACGUCGCGUCGGCAUGGUUGAAACAAAGCUGAGAAAAGAGUGGCAGGUUGUACUUCCUGCACUGCGAAGCAUGGAGGGGAUCAUCCUGUACACAGCAGACAGAAGAUACACUGGGAAAACAGCUGACUGCGAGAUUACCUAAAAAGAAUUGUCUCUUCGGGCAGAAUCUGGAAGGUAUUUCAGAAGAGAGAGAGAAAGGCCUAAAAUCUGAAAGAGUACUGGCAUGUUUGGCUACAAAGAUAAUGAGAGAAGAGCCUCUGAGAAGCACGACUGACAAUAUUUCAGGGAAGAAGCAGCAGCAAAGCUUGAUGCAGGAAGAACUUCGAAACAUUUGGUAGAGCCACGUGUGACUGAUCAAAAUAUUCACCCUAAAAAAAAAAAAAAAAAAAAAAAAAAAAAAACAACCCACACCACACAGAUUGUUAAGACUUGCUAGAAUCCAGGAGACUUUUCCAAUGGGACUUUAUCUACCCACAAUCACUUUGAAGACCUUCAUCCAAAUUUCUACAAUACAAAGCAACAAGAUUCCAUAUUUUGCAGCCACAGAAGGAAAGUUACCAUGCCUGCUUAACCGCUCAGCUACUGGUAAGAAGUUCAACAGCCCUUCUUCAGCUCCUUUCUGCCAUCCCAGGAUUUGAAAGAGUGGCGAAGUAUUUCAUCCCUUCACAGGAUUGGGCUGUGGUGUCUGCAGAAUGACCGCGUUUUUGAAGCGAGUGCAAGAAGCUGAGGCACCUGGAGACUGCAGCUGGGUGUGACAUGGGAGUGAUGCCAAGUAAGUUCAUGUCCUUAGGUGUAAGUGCAGUGAGUGGAAGAGCAAGAGCUGGGCAGCAGACAUGAACACUUGGCAGCUUGCUGCCCCUGGGCUCAUCUCUAGCGAGCCUGGACGGGUGCUAUGUAUGGGAGCUGCUGUUUCCCAGGAUGAGACUCUGGGGAUUGAGUUUUGUCAUCUCCCUCUUUAAAGGUUCAUGCUUAAAAUUGUCCUGAUUAGAAAGAGCCAGUAGAAAAUGAGGGCAAUAAGCAUAAGUGGUGAAACCUCAACUUCCGGUUAUGGGUUUUCUAAAUUUUUAUUUAUUUAGUUAUUUUAAUGACUCUUAGGGAAGUGGUUCUAGUUUGGAGCCCUCUUUCUAGAGAAGUUCAUGCUUGUGUGUAAUUAACGUUCCUGUCAGCUUGACUGCCAUCCUGGAAAACAGGUGUAGAGCUGCUAUAAGUAGCAAGGAGCCUCAUGCUUGCAGGGAGCUCCUCACAAACUCUAAAUUACAGUUUUGCUUCCUGUGCCACGACCUCAGGGCCCUGACCUGCAACUGCAGCAUAUUCUCUGUGACUAACAGCUGUAAUUCCCUAAUUAUCAUGCUCCCUUAUCCUGCCGUGUUGUAGAUUUUGUUACCAAGGGAGCAAGCAAUGUUUCCUCAUUCCUAUCCUUGCUCUGCACACUUCCAACUGUUUUAAAUCUGCCAUUUGAUGCAGCCCGUGAAGUCAAAUGUCUGUCUCUUGUUUCAGAUGCUCAUUGUCUUCAGAACAUAUGAUGUGUCUAUGCGCUGGGGAGGAGGGCAAAGCAAACCUUCUGGCCUUUCUUUUAGUGAAGGCUGAUGCUUUGUAGUUCCAGGUUCGAGUACCUUUAGUAGCUGCAGUGCUUUGGUGCAAAGUCCUGGACUAAACGUGGCCUUGCACUCAGCUUGCUCAGUGGUCACUGCUUCGUUAGACUGACUAACAGAGCUUCUGUAGAUGCUGGGAAAGAAAGGUGCAUGUAAAGCUCUGAAAGCUGGCUGUGUGUGUGGUGUAAUGGGGUGGUGUGCCACUGCCUGACAUGAUACUGGGGGAAACAGGUCUCUUUCAGUUAGCCUUGAAGUGGUCAGGCAGUUGGACUGGAAGACCUUCUGAAGGUCUCUUCCAAUGGAACUAUUCCAGUCUAAUCUCUAUUCUAAAUAAUAAACCAGCUGUGUAUGCCUUAGGCUUCACUGGUGUCUGUCCUUCUCCUGAAAGGAUGCUUGCAGGCUGGCUUCUGUUCCCACCAUGGCCAUGCCCAAGACAGAUGUACAACUUGUUUUUGCCCUUGGUAGGUGUGGUGAUGAGCAGGAAACCUUUCCAAGGGUGUGGCCUCCAACAAAUGGUAUUUUCUACCUUGCUCCAGAAAUAUUGUCUAAAUUGUGACAGAAAUGUCGCAAAAAUGUCGCAGGGUAAAAACUACUGAUUAAGUGGAUUUGCUGUGUGACUUCAGUCGUUAUGCAAAGAUGGAGGAAGUUGUUGCUUUCUCUGGCCUUUCUCUGGCUUUUGGCAGUUAUAUUUUCAAUAACUGAGCCUUGAAAAUUGAUAUUGGGGGUUGGUGGGGG